UGUUGAAUGAACGUAUUUUUUCCGCCAUUGAACAGAGUGAGGUGAAGUGAUGUGAAAAGAAGUGUUAUUUUUCGUAUUUUUACUGUCGAAAUACAAGACAAGAGCAGAUCAUCAGUCAGAGAAGAAGAAGAAGAGCCCUAACAGUGUUUCAGCCAGUUGACCAUGAUUGAUCCUGGUUACAUCCCUGAAGAUCUCACUCAAUACUUACUGAAUUACUCUGGCAAUGAAGAGGAGCAUAACAGCUGUGAUGAUACACAGCUAUGUGAAGUAGAUUCAAAUAACUAUGAGAGUAUCUUCAUCCCACCAUAUGUCAAAACCCCAAGAGAACUUCACCCCAAUCAAGACGAUCAAGAAAGCUUUCAAGAUUCUGGGAUGUCUGAAGAUGAAAGUGAUAGUGACCUUUCUCCACUUCAGAACAAAACUAAGGAAAACAUUCACAAUGCACCAAAUUCUAGUAAAUUGAAAUCAGCCAAGAAAAAAUCAAAACCUCAGCAAAAAACUAGAAAGAACUUGAAGUCCAACAGUGACUGCGGUAGUGUUAAAUCAGACAAGAAUAAAAAAGCUGUAACUAAGAGUAGUAAGAAAAAAAAAGAUGUAACCUCAGAAGAUACACUAGGUUCCAAUGCUUCCGGCAAAAUAAGUGCUAAAAAACGACCAUUGUCANAUGAGGCUAAAGGUAAUUCUCCUCCAAAUCCAUCCAAAAAGAAAAAGAAAACAAAUGAGGAUUCAGAUGAAAUAGAUAGAGUGCCAAGUGCUUGUCCAAACCAAGACACAGGAAACUCAAUCGCCAUGGAGAUUUUUGGGGAUGUUAGCUCUUCUGAAGAUGAACAUGAGGUUAUUCCAAAAAGUAAUGACAACACUUCAACUUGUCAAGUAAUUGUGAAUAAUUGCCAAGCUGAUGUAGAUGAGAUUUCAAAGAAUUUCCAAGCAACAGCAGAUGGAUCAGAUGAUAACAAGGUAGAAAAUACCUCCUCUACAGAUAACAAGGAGCCAUCAAGUAAGAUAACAUCAAUCUCUAUUGACAGCUCGUCAUCAGAAGGAACAGAAAAUAAGAGGGGAAAAAAAUCAACCUCUAAAGCUAAAAAGAUUUGUACUAUCCCGACUGAAGAUACACAGGAUGGCAGUUUUCUCUUUGAUCCCAGUGAGGAAAUGGUUACUUAUUUGCAAAAAAAUAAAAACAAAAAUAUUUCACGGCGAGUUCAUAAUAAAUCUAGUAACAGCUCAAAACCUAAGGGGAGUGGUGCUCAUAAACCUGUAUCAUCCAAAAAGACUACAAUAAAAGAUGCGAGUGAGCAUAGUAGUUCUGUGAUGAAGGAUGCUCAAAAAAAAAAUUCUCAAUCUCCUCGAGGGAAAAAAGUCACUUCACAGAGAGGCAAAACUCCUAAGAAAUCAGCAACCACAAAUGAUAGUGAUGGUAAGAGUACUCUGUGCCCUAAGAAGAAUACUUUAGUCAAGUCAUCUCCAAAUAGUUCAAAUGCUACACCUGCUACAGCUGCUGAAAGGCAUAAGUGGUAUAGAGAAAAGAGGAAGAAAUAUUUCGAAGACCUUGAGAAGGAAGUGGAAAGUUUGAGGACAGAAAAUGAGAGCCUUAAAAGGAAUUUGAAAGUCAAUAGUUUUGAUCAAAACAUGAAUAACAAUAAUGACAAUAUAAGUGAUAAAGAGAUGGGUUCACAUACUAAUGACUUGGAAUACAACAAAGGUAACUUGCAAGCAGAGAAGAAGAAUCACAAAAAUACAAAGGAAAUGAGUCUCUUCAUUCAAGAUCUGAAGGAGGAAAUACGACAGUUACAGAGGGAGAAUGAAAACCUUAUCAGUGUAGAAGACAUGGAGUCAAUUGUUGAUGAUUUGAAGGAACAAAUAAGUCAGUUAAAGAAGCAGAAGAAUGUUCUAGAAAUGAAGGAAAAAGAAGCAGACUCACUUGUCUGUAGUUUAAGGCAAGAACUUGGCCAGCUGAAGAAACAAAAUGAAGGGUUAAAAACCCAGAAGUUGACUGUCAAAGAUUUCAAGGACAAAAUACCUCCAUUGGAAAAAGAAAGGAAUGAACUGAAAAGCGAGGUAAAAGAGAUGGAAUUGUUUAUCGAAGAUCUGAAAAAAGAUAUAAAAGAUUUGACUGAUGAGAAAGAAGGAUUUAUGACAAGUAGCAAAGAAAUGAAUUUGCUGGUAAAUAAGUUAAAAGAAGAAAUAGAAACUUUGAAAAAGAACAAAGAUGAUCUUGUAAAGAAUGAAGAAGAGAUGAAUUUGAAUCUAAAAGAAUUGAGAGAAAAAUUGAAUGGAUUGAAGGAACAAAACAAUGAUCAUGUAAACAUUGCCAGAGAAACAGACUCCGUCUUAAAAUCUCUGAGAGAAGAAUUGGUUGAAAUGAAAACAGAGAAGGCAGUUGGUGAAGGCAAUGUUAGAGAAAUGGAAUCUACAAUUAACACCUUGAAAUGUGAAAUUAGUGUAUUAGAGAAAGAGAAGAAAGAACAAAAGACCAAUUUUGAGAAUAUGGAAAAAGAAAAAAUGAGUUAUCAAAACAGUUUCAUGGAGAUGGAUUCAGUGAUCAGAAGCUUGAAGUGUGAAAUUGGUAAAUUAGAAAAAGAAAGAGAAACCAAUCAAAGCAAUGCAAAGGAAUUGGAAAGUAUGAUUAACAAUUUGAAUUGUGAAAUAGACAAUUUGAAGACAGAGAAAGAUGUCCUGGAGAAGAAACGAAAGGAAAUGGAGUCACUCAUCGAAGGUUUAACAAAUGAAAAUAUUGAUUUAAAGAAUAAAGUGAAGAAUAAGGAUGAUUCAUUUGCNCAGGAACUGGAAGGAAAAUCUGGUCAACUAUUGACGAAUAACGAACAAACUGUUAGAUUUCUAAGUGAAGAAGCUCCACAUUCAAAGAACACUGACAUUAUUGGCAGAAAAGUGAGCAGUUUUUCUGAAGAACUGGAGCAACUGCGAAAAGAGAAGGAAGAGUUAAAGCAAAAUACUGGAAAGUUGGACUUAAUUCUACGAGAUAUGAAAAAUGAAUUUGGUGAAUUGAAAAAUGAGAAGGAAAAAAGUAAAAAAAGCUCUGAAGAAAUGGUCACAAUGGUGCAAAGUAUGAAAGAAGAUUUGGACAAACUAAAAAGCAAAGAAAAGGAUAUAUGUGAUGAUGUAGAAGAAGAUCAUUCAAGGAAAGAUAAAAGACACUGUUUAACAGCUGAAGACAUGUCACAUUUUGUUAAAGACUUGAAAGAUGAGAUAGGAUAUCUAAAGGGAUUGAUAAUAAGCCAAAGUGAACUGUCAGCUCUUGUGAAGCAUGUUGGUACUUUUCCAGGAUUUGAAUCAAGUGAAGAACAAGUCAGUGGUAAAAGGAAACUGGAUUGUGUAAGUGAUGAAACUGGCAAUGAAAACAAGCUGCAAAAAUCAGGUAAUGGUCAAAGUACAGUUAAGCCAGGUGGGGUUUGCCUACACAUUAACAAUGGUAAGAUGUCGGUAGAGUUUUGCAGUACUUGCAGUAGGAGUUCAAGUUCCUAGUUUGAUCCUCAUAUCAAACGUCAUUGCUAAACAGGUAAAAAGGCCUUGAAUACAGGUUAAUAUCAAGUGUCUAUAGACUGGUAAGAAUACAGAGUUUAACAAUACAAUACUGGUUGAAAAGACUUCAACAGUUUGUAUGUAGUACGACUGAGCUAGAUGGUGAAGUAUGAUGAUCUUCCAAGCUACUGUGCUAGAAUAUUAAAGCUACUACAACACAAACUAACAUAUCCAGUAAUUAAUAAUUAAUAGUGGUUAGUUUAUGACAUAAAGUUCAAUUUUUUUCCUCUUUCNAGUAUGACACAAACAUUUUCCAAGUUGUCUGUCAUUUCAGGUCAUCUUUCUGACUAAAUCCUGGUUGGACUUUGGCCUUCAUAUUUCCCCCUAGGUUAUGGAUGCUUUUGACUCCUUGCACCUCCCGGAGUCAAGUAUCAGCUCAAAACCUGAGUUAAAAAUGCUCUAUUUCCCCUUGUAUCUGUAAGUAUGUUAUUGAAGGGGAAAUCAGGUAAAGUCUAAUAAGUCACUCACAUUUUGCUUCAGAAAAUAUUUUUUUCUAAACGUUAAAUAAUUUGUGUUGAGAAGCUAUGAAAAUGCAGCAUCUGUUUUUUGUCCAGCUGCACCAAAAAGAGAUUUUAGGAGCAUUCAAUUGGAGAAAUGAAAACUUUAACUGUAACUAGAGUGCAUCCAUGUUGUAAGAUUUUAUAUAGAAACUUGUCUAACAGCACUGGUGCACACUAAUCAAUAGGUAAUCAAAGCUUUUGUCUAUCACUAAAUCUGCUGAUUUAUAACUNAAAAUGCAGUCAUGCCAAAAUCACACAUCUCUGAUAAUAAAUUUUAUUGAAGUAACAUAAUUAGUAACUAAUUAGUCAUUGCAACUGCAAUGGUCUCACUUUCCAGACAAUAUUCAUGAUGCCAAAAGACUUACUUGAACAGUGUUAGCUGAUAAAAAUAAAACUGUCAAUUGACUUGUCUUUCCAGUUGGGUUGAGAAGCGAUAUUUGGUUUAACAAAAAUAAAAAUAUUGUAAAAACUA
rnacentral:misc_RNA from 1 species